rnacentral:lncRNA from 1 species
GAGGGAGUCGAUUUAAUUAAUUAAUUCAUCAUUUUUUUAAAAAAAAUGUACUGAUUACUUCCUGGGUGCCUGAACAUAUUCCAAAGUAACACUGCUACACAAGCUGUGUGUGCUAGCAGGCUAAAAACAGCCAUAGCUGUCUUCAUAGGGAUAUGUCCAUGAACGUAUACUUAGGUUAAACAUUAUUCUGGUAGACAGCGCAGGUGGUUGUUAGCAAGGACCAUACUGUUUGAUUACUUGUUAAUGUUAAACAAAAAUGGUUUUGAAAACUGUUUUCUGUUCAACAGAUCUUAGUCAGUGCUUGGAAGCCGCAAAGCACUCUCAAAGUAUUUCUGAGGGAAUUGAUAUGGGUGGCAAAAGAGAACUUACAGCUAUGCAUUGCUUGUAGCAGUUCCCUUUCUCAGAAACAUUAUUUUUGUUGCUCUAAAUAAAGCAUUGCCUGUCUUGUUUGAGAUUUUACAGCCAUACUCUGCUAUGUAAUGUUAUAGUUCCUUUUCUAUGAAAUGUUAUUUUGGGUGAUCUAAAUAAAGCUUUGCCAGUUUUGUUUGAAAGAAGCAAGAGGAGUUUUGCUCUGGCCUUUCCUGGUUCUUUUUACUGCAGGGCAACUAGUCGGGUAACCUCUUCACUCCCAACUUUUGUUUCCAUUUGUUUGCCCCUUGUACGUUUUUGUCCUUCCCUUUUUGGUUUGGCCUCUCUGUGCAUCGUGACUAUUAGUAGUUAUGAGAAGUCACCGUGACUCUGUGCCAACUUGUGGCUGGUCUGUGGGUCCUGAUAGGUCAAAUGCAGAUCUACCCUUCCCCAAGUUGGCCAGCUGAUGUGAUCUGUAGUCAUCCUUUUAAUCCUCCUCUCUAUUUCUCCCUCUCUCUCUCUCUCUCUCUCUCUCUCUCUUUCUCUAUUUCUUUCUCUCGCUGUCUCUCUCUCUCUCUCCUCUAUGGUUUAGAGAGCUCUAAAGGCCUGGAAAGGAUACCGAAGCCAUGAAAGCAUUAGAUAAAGCACUUCUCUUACUGUUUAGCUCAGUUGACUUUAAUUUCCGAAGGCCACUGGUCAUGAACAACAGGAGCCUCAAGGACUUUUGACUCAAAUGGUCCCAUUAAAGUGCCUUGUGCAUCACUGACUACUAAGAUUCACUACCUCCAGAUCAGCUAAAGAAGGCAUCUUCCCUUCUGCAUUUGUUUAGUUGCUUACACAGAUUCAGGUUGGUGGGAACUGAUUGGAACGGCCUUCACGUUCUUGGUAGGUGUGAUUUUUAAUUUUAAUUGUCAAUGUAAUGGAUUGAGAAUCACUGUGGAAACACACUUCUGGGUGUGUCUAUGAUACUGUUUCAGAAAAGUUUGAACUGAAGAGGAAAGACCCGUCUUGACUAUGGCCAUCACCAUUCCGUGGACUGGGAUCUCAGACCCAG